UCGGGAAUUUUGGGCAAUGGGCGAAAGCCUGACCCAGCAACGCCGCGUGAAGGAUGAAGUAUUUCGGUAUGUAAACUUCGAAAGAAUAGGAAGAAUAAAUGACGGUACUAUUUAUAAGGUCCGGCUAACUACGUGCCAGCAGCCGCGGUAAUACGUAGGGACCAAGCGUUGUUCGGAUUUACUGGGCGUAAAGGGCGCGUAGGCGGCAAUUCAAGUCAUCUGUGAAAUCUCCGGGCUUAACUCGGAACGGUCAGAUGAUACUGCUUUGCUAGAGUGCAGAAGGGGCAAUCGGAAUUCUUGGUGUAGCGGUGAAAUGCGUAGAUAUCAAGAGGAACACCUGAGGCGAAGGCGGGUUGCUGGGCUGAUACUGACGCUGAGGCGCGAAAGCUAGGGUAGCAAACGGGAUUAGAUACCCUAGUAGUCCCUGAGCGGGCUGGCAAGGCGCAU
rnacentral:rRNA from 1 species